AGUAAAAGAACUAGGUUUUAAGAGCUGAUCAAAUGUCCAACACUCAGAACUGCUAUAAAAAUGACAUGCACAGAAAACUGAAGGAAAACAUGAGUGGCUGUCAUUUUUACAAGUUCAGCAAGGAUUUGAGAAUAGAAAUCCUAUCAUUCAUCAUCAUGGCACCCUACCACUUGACCUACACUUUGGAACUGGUAAAGACCCAGAUCUAAAGGUCUCAAGGUAUCCGCACUGACCUGCUCUUCUCUGUCCCUAAGAAGAUUCUGCAGGAGCUCGAUCUCUGCUUCUGCUCGGGCGAGAUCUUUGGCUGCUUGUGCAGCCUUCCGACUGAACUUCUCCGCUUCCAGCAACUCCUACUGGGACAGAGGUUGGGAACGUGCAAGGAUUUCACCGAGUUGUUUCUGCAGAUCAGCAAGACUUCUCCCCAAGACAUCAGAAGGACUAUGAAUUCUGAAAGAGUUUUCACACAUUCACACGCCCACUCAUGAGAAGCUCAUUACACAACUACAAUCUAGCUGGAAGGACUGAAUUGUGUUCCUCAGGUGCGCUGACGGCAAAAAACAGAACCAAGAAUCCAGUCUGACUCUUCCUUCACAUGUGAGAAACCGGAUCCUCAGCUGCAUAAAAUGACUUGCCCAUAUGAAGACAAAAUAGUUCCUUAGGCAACUGUUUAUAUGGAGACAGAGUAAUUCCCCAGAGAACUUUACCCUCUCACUCAACCCUCUCAGCUCCAGUUUGUGGAACACAACAAUAAAUCAAAAGAAAGUUAUCAGGAGAAAAGCAAAAUAUAGAUAGUAGAGUUCCAAGGUUCUCAAGUUUAAAAUCCCAUCUGGAUUAUAAAAUAACAUCUCUCAGUUUUAGAUGUCUGCUGCUUCCAAAAGAAAAAUGAAAAGCCUCUUCAUUUCUGAAGAACAAAACGAGUGGCAACUUGAUUGGAAGGUUAUUUACUACUAGAAAAGUUGAUGGGAUUUUCAAAAUCCUUCAGUCUACAUUACCAAAAUACCCAUCUGAAUAUUUUCUGAAAUGCUAACUUCCCCUAACAGCUUAAAUUCUAUGUAAAUGUAGGGUAGUUAUGGUUUCAAGAAUAAUAAAAUACUAAUUUCCUGAGGUCACAUAUAACAAUAAAUCUUUAAAAAAUCACAAUAAAAAAUUCACUGAAAUCUCUAUCCCCAGGAUAACAAACAAAACUCAACAAAGAAAACAAAACCUAAUUCAAAUCAGUAAACACAUGAAGCAAAGUGGAUUGUGGAACUCACAAAAGAGUUAUUGUAAAAACAGGAACUUAACAUCUCUGACUCCUCCUCCUUUUAAGUCUUUUGUACUGAGA